GAUGAACGCUGGCGGCGUGCCUAAUACAUGCAAGUCGAGCGAACAGAUGAGGAGCUUGCUCCUCUGACGUUAGCGGCGGACGGGUGAGUAACACGUGGAUAACCUACCUAUAAGACUGGGAUAACUUCGGGAAACCGGAGCUAAUACCGGAUAAUCUAUUGAACCGCAUGGUUCAAUAGUGAAAGACGGUUUUGCUGUCACUUAUAGAUGGAUCCGCGCCGCAUUGGCUAGUUGGUACGGUAACGGCUUACCAAGGCAACGAUGCGUAGCCGACCUGAGGGGGGGAUAGGCCACACGGGAACGGAGACACGGUCCAGAGUCCUACGGGAGGCAGCAGUAGGGAAUCGUCCGCAAUGGGCGAAAGCCUGACGGAGCAACGCCGCGUGAGUGAUGAAGGUCUUCGGAUCGUAAAACUCUGUUAUUAGGGAAGAACAAAUGUGUAAGUAACUAUGCACGUCUUGACGGUAACGAAUCAGAAAGCCACGGCUAACUACGUG
rnacentral:rRNA from 1 species